rnacentral:lncRNA from 1 species
AGUCAUGCCAAAAGUGGGGUCAAUCACAAUAUGGACAUGGAUCAUCCAGAUAAGAUUUCCAACCAUCAAACUCACAUUCAUUCCAUGAUACCAUAGUAAGAAAUAAACAAAAAUAAAGAAAUCUACCUAACACAAGAAAUAAAAGAAAACUAAAAACAAAUAUUUACAAGUUUGAAUUCAAGCAAGUAGGCUAAAAUUCUAAACCAACUCAAUA